rnacentral:lncRNA from 1 species
GAAAAUUAAAAGGGCACAGGAAAUGAUGCAAAGCAUAGGAAACGUGCACCAUAAUGGCACAUGAGAAACACUAAUGACAUUCUGAUUUGAUGUAACAGUUUGAUGCAGAUCUCGAAACGUCACAUCGCUACCUCGCCAAGAGAUUCCCGUCCCUCGCAUGACGCUUUUGGAUCUCUUCUUCUCAAAUCAAGAGAGUCCGCCCAUCGAGCUCGCCUAGAGGAGACCUCAAUAGGCGGAGGGACUAAUUGUAUGGGCCAAAAUCUGACCAUGCAUGCAUUGGCAUUAAAAGAAUGGCGGGAGGUCAACUGAGCCGUGGUCGUAUUCCUAAGACGUCAUAACAACGAGUAUCUCGGCCGAUACCGGGAUCGAACUAUCUGAAAGCUUGUAUGGCAAGGCAUGUGUCGUGACAUUUGAAGGGGACGACCCAACAAACAAUAAACAGACUAAAGCCUAUUGGCUAUGAACCGUUGGAUAAAAGAGAAUAAUUGCUAUAUAAAUAGGGGGCAAAGAACAAGUAAUGGGGGUCUCUCUCCUACAGAAGAAAAAGGCAGAAGAACCGGAGAAUGCUACAGGACGAAAGCACAAGAAGUUGUAGAUCUUGGGGAAAAUCUUUGUAAUCGUCUUUCUUGGGUCAAUAAAGAUAGAUCCUGCAACUAUUAACGGC